AACGAACGCUGGCGGCAUGCCUAACACAUGCAAGUCGAACGAGACCUUCGGGUCUAGUGGCGCACGGGUGCGUAACGCGUCGGAACCUGCCCUUAGGUUCGGAAUAACUCCCCGAAAGGGGUGCUAAUACCGGAUAAUUUCUUCGGACCAAAGAUUUAUCGCCUUUGGAUGGGCCCGCGUUGGAUUAGCUAGUUGGUAGGGUAAAAGCCUACCAAGGCGACGAUCCAUAGCUGGUCUGAGAGGAUGAUCAGCCACACUGGGACUGAGACACGGCCCAGACUACUACGGGAGGCAGCAGUGGGGAAUAUUGGACAAUGGGCGAAAGCCUGAUCCAGCAAUGCCGCGUGAGUGAUGAAGGCCUUAGGGUUGUAAAGCUCUUUUACCCGGGAUGAUAAUGACAGUACCGGGAGAAUAAGCUCCGGCUAACUCCGUG
rnacentral:rRNA from 1 species